GUAGGUGGCAAGCGUUGUCCGGGAAUUAUUGGGGCGUAAAGCGCGCGCAGGCGGUUCUUUAAGUCUGAUGUGAAAGCCCACGGGCUCAACCGUGGGAGGGUCAUUGGAAACUGGAGAACUUGAGUACAGAAGAGGAAAGCGGAAUUCCACGUGUAGCGGUGAAAUGCGUAGAGAUGUGGAGGAACACCAGUGGCGAAGGCGGCUUUCUGGUCUGUAACUGACGCUGAGGCGCGAAAGCGUGGGGAGCAAACAGGAUUAGAUACCCUGGUAGUCCACGCCGUAAACGAUGAGUGCUAAGUGUUAGGGGGUUUCCGCCCCUUAGUGCUGCAGCUAACGCAUUAAGCACUCCGCCUGGGGAGUACGGCCGCAAGGCUG
rnacentral:rRNA from 1 species